rnacentral:rRNA from 1 species
CUACCUGCAGUCGAGCGAUGAAAUCCCUUCGGGGAUGGAUUAGCGGCGGACGGGUGAGUAACACGUGGGUAACCUGCCUCAAAGUGGGGGAUAGCCUUCCGAAAGGAAGAUUAAUACCGCAUAAUAUCUAAUUGCCGCAUGGCAGAUNGAUUAAAGGAGCAAUUCGCUUUGAGAUGGACCCGCGGCGCAUUAGCUAGUUGGUGAGGUAACGGCUCACCAAGGCGACGAUGCGUAGCCGACCUGAGAGGGUGAUCGGCCACAUUGGGACUGAGACACGGCCCAGACUCCUACGGGAGGCAGCAGUGGGGAAUAUUGCGCAAAGGAGGAAACUCUGACGCANGCAACCCCGCGUGAGUGAUGAAGGUCUUCGGAUUGUAAAGCUCUGUCUUCAGGGACGAUAAUGACGGUACCUGAGGAGGAAGCCACGGCUAACUACGUGCCAGCAGCCGCGGUAAUACGUAGGUGGCAAGCGUUGUCCGGAUUUAUUGGGCGUAAAGCAUGCGUAGGCGGAUACUUAAGUGGGAUGUGAAAACCCGGGGCUCAACUCCGGACCUGCAUUCCAAACUGGGUGUCUAGAGUACAGGAGAGGAAAGGGGAAUUCCUAGUGUAGCGGUGAAAUGCGUAGAGAUUAGGAAGAACACCAGUGGCGAAGGCGCCUUUCUGGACUGUAACUGACGCUGAGGCAUGAAAGCGUGGGUAGCAAACAGGAUUAGAUACCCUGGUAGUCCACGCCGUAAACGAUGAGUACUAGGUGUCGGGGUUUCAAUACUUCGGUGCCGCAGUUAACACAUUAAGUACUCCGCCUGGGAAGUACGAUCGCAAGAUUAAAACUCAAAGGAAUUGACGGGGGCCCGCACAAGUAGCGGAGCAUGUGGUUUUAAUUCGACGCAACGCGAAGAACCUUACCUGGGCUUGACAUCCUAAGAAGUCGGUGGAAACACUGAUGUGCCCUUCGGGGAACUUAGAGACAGGUGGUGCAUGGGUUGUCGUCAGCUCGUGUCGUGAGAUGUUGGGGUUAAGUCCCGCAACGAGCGCAACCCUUGUUGUUAGUUGCUACCAUUAAGUUGAGCACUCUAGCAAGACUGCCUGGGUAACCAGGAGGAAGGUGGGGAUGACGUCAAAUCAUCAUGCCCCUUAUGUCCAGGGCUACACACGUGCUACAAUGGUUGGUACAGAGAGACGCAAGACCGUGAGGUGGAGCAAAUCCCAUAAAACCAAUCUCAGUUCGGAUUGUAGGCUGAAACUCGCCUACAUGAAGCUGGAGUUACUAGUAAUCGCGAAUCAGAAUGUCGCGGUGAAUGCGUUCCCGGGCCUUGUACACACCGCCCGUCACACCAUGAGAGUCGAUAACACCCGAAGUCCGUGAGGUAACCGUAAGGGGCCAGCGGCCGAAGUUGGAUA